rnacentral:rRNA from 1 species
CCCUUAGAUGUUCUGGGCCGCACGCGCGCUACAAUGGUCUUCGCAAACGGAUGCAUUCUCGAAGGAGAAUGCCAAUCUUGGAAUCUAUGCCUUGGUCGGGACAGUUGCUUGCAAUUUUUCGACUCGAACCAGGAAUUCCUUGUAAUCGUGAUUCAUCACAUCACGAUGAAUACGUCCCUGCCCUUUGUACACACCGCCCGUCGCUCCUACCGAUCGAAGAGUUAGGUGAAUUGUUUUGAUCGAUAAGAUUUGACUAUGGUCAACUCUCGUUGUGAAAUUCUGUGAAUCUGACUGUUUAGAGGAAGGAAAAGUCGUAAUA